rnacentral:rRNA from 1 species
GGAGGUAUCCGAAUGGGGAAACCCACCCAGUUUACUGGGUACCUUGCACUGAAUACAUAGGUGUAAGGGGCGAACGCGGAGAACUGAAACAUCUAAGUACCCGCAGGAAAAGAAAUCAACCGAGAUUCCCAAAGUAGCGGCGAGCGAAAUGGGAUUAGCCCUUAAGUUACAGUGGAUUUAGCAGAACGCUCUGGAAAGUGCGGCAAUAGAGGGUGAUAGCCCCGUAUGCGAAAGGUCCAUUGUAGUGAAAUCGAGUAGGUCGGG